UGCCUGGCAGUUAGUGAUUAAUGUGGCAGUGCAUGGGUGUACUAAUACAUUGAUGGGACUGUUUUGGCAAAGACAUCCGGUCUGCCUCUGGGCACGUACUGAAGGGCAGCUGGCACAGUCAUCUCUGUAGUGUUAGGCAGAUGUGUGGGGGGGAGAUUUGAGCUACUUGUGAGUAGCUUCUCACAUAGUGUUUGAACAGUGUGCUUGAGGAGGUCUGUCGAAUCUUGAAAGCUUACAGAUAUGGGGUUUUGCUUUUUUUUUUUUUCUUAUUUUUUUCCUGUCCCCAUUAGAGUGUAAACCCUAGGAGGAACCUGUCACAGGAAAGAGCUCCUUCUGGAACUGUUCAACCCUUGGUAGGCAACUUUUGUUUAAUUUGUUUAAGGUGAAACACAGUGUACAACACGGGACUUGACCGGAGCUGCUUUUGGCAAGAGGUGUAUUGUAGCUGGCAUAAGAGAGCAGAUGGAAGCAUCUGCCUCGAGGGCAGGUGAGGAGGCUGAGGCUCAGAGGGGCCAAGCUGUACUCUGAAGAGCAGCACGAGAAGGGCGGGCUGGUUGUGAGCUGGAUUGGAGCAGAACAGCCAAGUAGCACGAGGUGUCCCAGGCAAUGUGGGCUGUGAUGUUAUUUCUUGAGAAUCGGAACAAAGCAGGUGCUGAUGGCGGUUUUUUGGUGAUUGGCUUCAGGGUCCAGGUGAGACCUAGUGGUAACUGAGUUGCAGGUGUGCCAUCAGAGAGCUCCUUCUGUCUGGGCUGCACUUUUGGAGGACUAAAACCAGCUUGAUUACCGGCUACAUGUGGCUUGACAGUGUAGAUGCAGCAUUGCCAAGAGACUGAGCAGGGUUGUAUCAGAGUCACCUUUUUUAUCUGCAAAGGGUAAGUCU